rnacentral:rRNA from 1 species
CGUGUAGGCGGCUCGGCUAGUCUGGUGUGAAAACGCUACCGCUCAACGGAGCGAAUGCGCUGGAUACUGCCGAACUUGAGUGUGAGAGAGGCGGGCAGAAUACCUGGUGUAGCGGUGGAAUGCUUAGAGAUCAGGUAGAAUACCCGAGGCGAAGGCGGCCCGCUGGCUCACUACUGACGCUAAGGCGCGAAAGCGUGGGGAUCAAACG